rnacentral:lncRNA from 1 species
AAGAUAAGGGAUUGGUAAUGCUUCAGAUGUACAAACUCUUAAAAAGAGCCUAGUGCACUAUACAGAGCAGGCUCUGAGAGGAAGUGCUAUAUGGAACAGGCUCUCAGCGUGGGCAUGCACUACAGAGGCAGGUUCUGUUGGGGGUGAGGGGAGGGCAAUGAAGCCAAAGUACGCACCUCCUUACAAAUGUCGCCAGAGGUAAGAACCCCAUGAGGACUGUGUGCUAAAGAACCCGAUACAGCCUAUGUAAGCAGAACCAAGUGGUACAUCCCUAGCACAGCCUGUCAAAUGCUAGAGUGCAGUCACAACCCCCUAUAAAGCACUGGGUGCAGCUAUGAUGCAGACUUUGAAUUUUUUUUCAACUUUUAAAGAGUUACAUGGCAUAACUACAUCAGUAGCCUCUCAUCUUAUUGGAGCCAAAUUGACAGUGAAAUGCGUGUCUAUUUAGCCAUGCGUAGACUUGCAGAUAAGAGCUUGUAGACCUGACUGCUAAGCUAGCUUGAUGUCCCUUCUGCCACUCUGGGCACUCACACCUAUCCUCAACCCAAGGAAAAUAUGUUAAUUGGAUACCUUGAGGCCUGGAGCACCAUGCUGUGCCCAUUGUGGGAGCUUCUCAGCCUUUAGUUCCUAAAGUUUCUAAAUGUAGUAAAGUGUCAUUGGAAGCAUGCGAUGUUGGUCAUAUCCUGAGGAGACCCUGCACACCUCUGAGAAAGCCUCAGACUUGCAAUCUAAACUUCCUAAUGCCCUAAGUUGCCUGAUGACCUUCCAAAGGCCACCUAUCCCCUCUGAGCCUCAGUGUGCUCACCUACUCAAUGGGAAUAAUAAUGCCUAAUAUGAAUGUUAAGAAUGUUAAAGUCUUUGGGAUUAAAGUACUUUUUUCAUAAACUGAUUUCAAACUGUUAUUCAAAUAUAGUAUUAUCUUUUUAUUUACUAUAUUAGGAAAAUCAACAAUAUAUGCUAAAAUGCUCUAUACCCUCUAAAAAUGGAAAGUGAAUGCAAAAAAAAAGUCAUUUUAUUAGUAUGAACUCUCUAACAAAGAUCUGGCUUCUUAAAGUUGAAUUGAUGAGCCAUGUUGGACAAACAAAAGGAGCCGAUUUCUACCACAGUCUGUCCCACUUCACUUCCUGACCCCAGUAGACACCGCCUCCUGCGACUGAAGGAUUUUGGUAAUAAAAUAAGAAAAGUCCAGGAGUUCUCCCUAAGCCCUGACUAGGACUGGGUGCACAGAAGAGCGUCCAGCACUAGGUGCCCCAAGGCACCUGACCAACAUCUGUUUCUCUAUGAUGGACCCUCCACCAGCCAUGGUUCAUCAAGGGUUCUGUAGCCCCUAGGACUCAAAGUCCUUGGGCUCAGCCACAGGCUCAGCCAUUGUUCUCCAUCUCCCCAGGGCAACCAUUUUCAUUUUCAGAUCCCUGGGAUCCACAACUGCACACCUAGAUUGGUGAUACCCACUCCAUGGGUCAUGAGGAAGAGAUCCUCGGGAUGUUCAUAGAACCUUUGGGGCAGGAGAAAGCUCAGCUGUGUGGUGAGAUUAUUCACCAUUGACAUGAGACCUGGAGGUGCAGGGUUAGCUCAGACACGGGUUUCAAGGCCGUGGGGCUGAGAAGCUGUUUUCUGGAAAACCCAGGCCCCUCUUUGAGCAGGCUGAGGAAAGCAGACAAAAGCAUCAACACCUAAGUCCCUCCUCUCUGAGCCUGGACAGACCAUUACAAACAGGUACUGUUACAAGUGUAAGACUGGAAUCCACAGCCUGUGCGGCAGCACAUAAGUUCUGUGCUAUGCUUUGGUUUGCUUUGUUUCUCUUUCUGGAUUUCUUCACUUUAUAGAUUUGACAGUUACGUAUGAUGCUGAGCCCUGGAGAGCUAACAGCAUGGCACUUUACAGGAAUGGUGUGUGUGUCUGUCUGCGUGUUGUGUGUGUAUGGUUGUGUUGGGAGGUGGGGGAUGUUUAACUGCCAGUAGCCAAACACAAAGCAAAGAUCUAAAUAGAACAUUCCAAAGCAGCACUCUCAUGCUGCAGAUCUCAGAGUGUGAACAGGUAGACAGUUACUCUCUGGGUUUUUCUGUAGAAAAGUUCUCACCAUGGCUGGUCAAGAGUCGACAGAUUGGGAGGGGACGGCUCAGAGUGCAUGGCCGGCUACAUGUGUGUGACAGAGUCUCCCUGCAUGCUUUACAUGCAUGCCCUAUUGUCUUCCUUUUCUACUAAUUAUUGAAACCAAGAGUCUGUUUUCAAGGGCUUCAUUGAAAGAAAAAAAAGAGAGAGAGAGGAAAGGAGAGGGGAGGGGAGGGGAGGAGAGGGGAGGGGAGGGAAGGAAGGAAAGAGAGAGAGACAGAGAGAGAGACAGAGAGAGACAGAGAGAGAGAAGGAAGGAAGGAAGGAAGGAAGGAAGGAAGGAAGGAAGGAAGCAAGCAAGCAAGCAAGCAAGCAAGCAAGCAAGCAAGCUUUAAAAAAUUCAAGGUCUCAUACUAAAGAUCAUGAUGCAGAAAUAAAAGUGUUCUGGUGGUUUUCUACUCUGUUUUUUUUUUCACUCCUUUAUAAAUCCUGCUAAUCUCACUCUUCUGCUAAACGACAGCUUUCUUGAAGGUCUAGAGAAAAAGGUAGUUCAGAAAACAGUAACCAAAUGUCAGACACAUUUGCACAUCAAAACCUCAGUUAGAUAUCACAUCUUUCCAGUAAGGAUAAUAAUUAUU